rnacentral:snRNA from 1 species
UCCUUUCAUCAGAUGGCUGU